rnacentral:rRNA from 1 species
GAUGAACGCUGGCGGCGUGCCUAAUACAUGCAAGUCGAGCGAACGGACGAGAAGCUUGCUUCUCUGAUGUUAGCGGCGGACGGGUGAGUAACACGUGGAUAACCUACCUAUAAGACUGGGAUAACUUCGGGAAACCGGAGCUAAUACCGGAUAAUAUUUUGAACCGCAUGGUUCAAAAGUGAAAGACGGUCUUGCUGUCACUUAUAGAUGGAUCCGCGCUGCAUUAGCUAGUUGGUAAGGUAACGGCUUACCAAGGCAACGAUGCAUAGCUGACCUGAGAGGGUGAUCAGCCACACUGGAACUGAGACACGGUCCAGACUCCUACGGGAGGCAGCAGUAGGGAAUCUUGCGCAAUGGGCGAAAGCCUGACGGAGCAACGCCGCGUGAGUGAUGAAGGUCUUCGGAUCGUAAAACUCUGUUAUUAGGGAAGAACAUAUGUGUAAGUAACUGUGCACAUCUUGACGGUACCUAAUCAGAAAGCCACGGCUAACUACGUG